rnacentral:rRNA from 1 species
AUUGAACGCUGGCGGCAUGCCUUACACAUGCAAGUCGAACGGUAACGCGGGGCAACCUGGCGACGAGUGGCGAACGGGUGAGUAAUGUAUCGGAACGUGCCCAGUUGUGGGGGAUAACUGCUCGAAAGAGCAGCUAAUACCGCAUACGACCUGAGGGUGAAAGCGGGGGAUCGCAAGACCUCGCGCAAUUGGAGCGGCCGAUAUCAGAUUAGGUAGUUGGUGGGGUAAAGGCCCGCCAAGCCAACGAUCUGUAGCUGGUCUGAGAGGACGACCAGCCACACUGGGACUGAGACACGGCCCAGAAUCCUACGGGAGGCAGCAGUGGGGAAUUUUGGACAAUGGACGCAAGUCUGAUCCAGCCAUGCCGCGUGCGGGAAGAAGGCCUUCGGGUUGUAAACCGCUUUUGUCAGGGAAGAAACGCUCUGGGUUAAUACCUCGGGGUAAUGACGGUACCUGAAGAAUAAGCACCGGCUAACUACGUGCCAGCAGCCGCCGUAAAAC